ACCCGCUGAACUUAAGCAUAUCAAUAAGCGGAGGAAAAGAAACCAACAGGGAUUGCCCUAGUAACGGCGAGUGAAGCGGCAACAGCUCAAAUUUGAAAUCUGGCGUCUUCGGCGUCCGAGUUGUAAUUUGUAGAGGAUGCUUUUGGGCAGCCACCGGUCUAAGUUCCUUGGAACAGGACGUCAUAGAGGGUGAGAAUCCCGUAUGUGACCGGCUUAGGCACCCUUUGUAAAGCUCCUUCGACGAGUCGAGUUGUUUGGGAAUGCAGCUCUAAAUGGGAGGUAAAUUUCUUCUAAAGCUAAAUACCGGCCAGAGACCGAUAGCGCACAAGUAGAGUGAUCGAAAGAUGAAAAGCACUUUGGAAAGAGAGUUAAAAAGCACGUGAAAUUGUUGAAAGGGAAGCGCUUGCAAUCAGACUUGCCCGCGGUUGUUCAGCCUGUCUUCUGACUGGUUUAUUCUUCCGUGGGCAGGCCAGCAUCAGUUUCGGCGGCCGGAUAAAGGCCUUGGGAAUGUAGCAUCCUCCGGGGUGUGUUAUAGCCCAGGGUGUAAUACGGCCUGCUGGGACUGAGGUCCGCGCUUCGGCUAGGAUGCUGGCAUAAUGGUUGUAAGCGGCCCGUCUUGAAACACGG
rnacentral:rRNA from 1 species